GCCAACGGUAUUGUGCCAAUUGUGAUGAUAUCUCUAGACCCUUCACUCAAGAAUAGGAGGCGAAAAUUAGUCACGUAUAAGGUUCCAGCAUCAUCAGUGUUGACAAGAACUACCCCAUAACCCUCUACUAUAACUUGCUCGGCUUCCAACAAAAACUGUUUAACUCCAAUAGGAAUCGACCUCGCAACAGGAUCGAUUUUGGUCCAUUCAAGGGCAUCCCAGCUACCGGCACCUUCAAUUUUGUCGGACUCAGAGAGUCGACUCUCCG
rnacentral:misc_RNA from 1 species